rnacentral:rRNA from 1 species
GACGAACGCUGGCGGCGUGCUUCAUACAUGCAAGUCGAACGAGAAGCUGACUUCGGUCAGUGGAAAGUGGCGGACGGGUGAGUAAUAUGUAGGAAAUCUGCCUUUAGGAGGGGGACAACAGAGGGAAACUUCUGCUAAUACCCCAUAUGAGCGUAGCUGAAAUGCUAUUCUUGAAAACUCCGGUGCCUAAAGAUGAGCCUGCAUCUGAUUAGCUAGUUGGUAGUGUAAUGGACUACCAAGGCGACGAUCAGUAGCUGGUUUGAGAGGAUGAUCAGCCACAAUGGGACUGAGACACGGCCCAUACUCCUACGGGAGGCAGCAGUAGGGAAUUUUGCGCAAUGGGCGAAAGCCUGACGCAGCAAUGCCGCGUGAACGAUUAAGCCCUUCGGGGUGUAAAGUUCUGUCAGUGGGGACGAAACUUGACGGUACCCACAGAGGAAGCACCGGCUAACUCCGUG